CACUGCUUUUCCUUGGGCCAGGUAUAGUUCCCAUAGAAUUUCCUUCACCAAUGCACCUGCCGCAGAUCAGUUUAGUCAAUGAAAAAAAGCAAGGAAAGAAGCAAGUGGCAGCAGACUAGCCCCCUGCUCAAGGACGAUGACCUCUAUCUCCUCAAAGACAGAGAGGUUUAAAGAAGAGACAUAGUCUCCCCCAGUUCCAUCUGUCCGGAGCCGCCUGGAGCAUGCGCCGUGUUGCACAACACACGUGCCAUUAAUUAGUUUUCGCUUUACCGUUUUGCCUGCUGAGAAACCACAGGUGUUUCCUAUUAAUCAAAUGAGACUGGGAGGUACGAUGGGAGGAGCUACCAGGAUAUAAGAAGAGAACCACGAGAAGGUCAGGAGGUUAUUGCGAGAGGUUAUUGCGAGAGAGGUUAUUGCGAGAGAGGUUAUUGCGAGAGGAGCAGAGAGAAGGUCAGGGAAGGUAGAAAGACAGGGAAAAGUAAAAGAAAGGUAAAAGAAAAAUAAAGAAGUAAACGCUAGCGUCAAGUUGUCAAGCCCCUCAUUUCAAUCCUCAGCCCUUCUCUUUUCGUGCCUACGAAUCCCGCGGGUCGGGACAUCCAUCCAUAUUGUUACACAUGGCAAGAGUUCAUCUUUCUUUACAGCUGAAUAAUAUUCCGCUGCACAUAUAUACCUUAUCUUCUUAAUCCCCUCAUUUGUCCUUGGGCACAUGGGUUAUCUCCAUAACUUGGCAAUUGUAAAUAGUGCUGCAGUGA